rnacentral:lncRNA from 1 species
AUGGAUCAACUUCCGCCAUAAUGUUCUAUCAAGUAUCAUACUUCUAUCCAAACCAUUAAUUUCGAGAUCAUUUUUUAUAACCUCUCUUAUAGUCUUUUUGGGUUUUCCUCUGCCUCGAAUUGUUUGUCUUCUCUCCAUCUGGUCUACUCUCCUCACUACAGAGUCUACCGGUCUUCUCUCUACAUGCCCAAACCACCUAAGUCUAUUUUUCACCAUCUUCUCUACAAUAGGCGCUACUCCAACCCUCUCUCUAAUAGCUUCGUUUCUAAUUUUAUCCUGUCGAGUCUUACCACACAUCCACCGC